UUCUUACUCCCAUGACCAUUUUCUUUUGUUUAUGGUCUCUCUGUCCUGCUCCUCCUUCCCACCAUUUUCAUCCUUAGAUGCUCUUGGAAUGACGUUGCUCCAUUGGAUCGAAAUGUUACAGUCAACAUCAGUGCCAUUUGUGAUGUCCACAAAACCCAUGAAUCUGAUGUUUCUAGACCUCUUUCAAGUUUUCAAAGCACCUUCCAUUGACCCCCACUACGACCCUGAGAUUAAGGAAAAGGCUAAGAGACAUUAAACACAAUGGCUGGCAUGUAGGAGGUGCUUAAUAAAUGAUUAUUGUCUGUUAAGUGACUUGCCUAAUCCUACGUAGUUGUGGAGACAAGCCUUCACGCUUCAGUCGGUCACUCUCUCCACUCGGUCACAUUGCGGCUCUUAUUUUAUGGAGGUCAAGAUAUCCCAAAACAUUUUCGCAAUUGGCCCAAGCUCAUGCAACCAAUUCAUGGCAGAGCGAGGGCCAGAAGUCGGGCUCUUCUGAGCCCUAGAGCCGUGAAGGGACAAGAAUCCCUCUUGUAGUGACCCUCCCUCACUGCUUGAAGCACAGCUUUACCAAGCUUGCAGCUUUCUCAGGUGCGAGGGGAGAUGGAAAGCAGCAGCUGGCCACCGGCUCUUUCAGAAGGAAAGGAAGAACCAGAGGAGAGCAUAGACAGGAGGGGACGUGCCUUCUCCCUGCUCACUGGCCUGUGGGAAACGAUGGACUGAAUGCUGGCUUGGAGUCAGGACACCCUCCUGGGCUGGAGUCCCACUUCCAACGCUUGUCAGCCAUGACCCUGAGCAGGCACUUUUUAGAAUGAGACUGUACUGUGUAAUGGACAAAGCCUGGUGGAAUCUUGAAGACCUGGGUUCAACUCCUGCUUAGCUUCUCCAAAGGAUUCCCCACAGAUGAUGAGGCCCUCCAGAUGCUCGAGUUUGUGGCUGACAGUGUGCUGAUUGUAUCAAGCCCCAGAAGGCUGUAGAGCCCCCUCAAUGAGAUCUGCAGGAAGCGUCUUCCACGGAUGUUCCCGUCUCUCAAGCAGCCACAUGAGUACAGACCGUCAUCACAUCACACCUGCACUUUCACAGUCACCUUCUAGAGGGUCCCCUGCCUUACGGGUCCCCUCAGUCCCGUCCACCCUCCAUUCUUCUACCAAAGAGAUCGUCCCAAUGCACAUCUCACUGACUGCAUCACUCACCUCCUGACCUCCAGGGGCAGCUUCUGACCCAACUCUGGUUUGGCAUUCAAAGCUCUGAACACCCUCACAGUCUUUCUAGCUCUCUUACUCAUUACUCCCCUCUACCCAUCCCAAAGUCCAGCCCCUCCUGCCUGAAAUGUGGCCCCUCCUCAUUGACACCCUGCAUCUUCCUUGCUUUUCUUCAACACUCAGGUCAUCUGCCUCCUCUACAGACAACCUGUCCUGGGUCCACAGCUGCUAGUGUCCUCCUCAGAUGAUUCUGCCUCUCCCGCAUGCCUUGCUCAUGCCCACAUGGGCCUCUUUUCUUCCAGACAGAAUGUCAACAUCUUGGGAGUUUUGCAUUGGUUUGUAUCUCCAGUGCCUGGCACUUAGGAGGCACGUAAAAGUGCUUAUCUAAUAAUAUCAAUGAUUAUUAAAAA